rnacentral:lncRNA from 1 species
AAUAUCCUGAGGAACUGGGGGAGGAGCCACCCAGCAUCAGGUCAAAUGUGGCAGCUCCUUCUACCACCAUGGUCCUCGUGGAUGAGGGAACUGAUGAAAACGGUGUGUGUACAGAAAUCAUCACCCCAGUGACGAACAGUCAGGGUGAGAAGAAGAAGCUCCCCUACCCCAGGAACCACUGGAAGAAUUGCCUGCCUUUGAGGGAGAAGAAGAGGCUCUGUCUGACACUGAGCUUUGCUGGAGACGAAGUGGAGAUGCACCUGCUUUGGGGAGGUGGCUGGCGAGAAAGAGAGCGAAUGCGGGCCCCGCCCCGUGAGGCAAAGCUCACUUCCUGAUGGAGGAUGGGGCUGUGUGGCCUGAUUCUCUGUGGAGCUCCUGAGUCGAUGCCUCCCACCCAAAAAAUCACAGGUUAAAAGGUAAGAAAGAGGAUAACGGAAGUAGCCCGUGUGUAUCUAUUAAAAUAAUUAGCGCUGUUGCCCAAACUCAGCAUUUGCCCACGGGUGCCAAAUAGAAACAAGGAGACAAGAGUCUUGGGUGUAGAAGGAAAAAGAUAUCUUUUAUUGCUUUGCCGGGUAAAGGAGGCCACAGCAGGCUC